CCGACGCAAGCGCACGAACCGCGCGCGCGAGUGCCGUGACGAGUAACGAGUUCUGUGACUGUGCUGUGUUUACAAAACUUACACCUCAGUGAAUUUAUUCUCCUUUGGUUUUACAACUGGAAUUUACAUCUUAAAUACAAGUUGGUGUACCAAUUGCUGAAAGAUCUUUUGUUUUCCAGUAACGCUCGUCCUUCAGCCACGUGCGCCCAUGUGCAUAUUUUGUUAAAGAUGCUUGUGUCCUGGUGAGCGGCAUGGGCCAGGCGGGCAGCCAGCCUGCGCCGGCGCCGCCACAGCGCGCGCGCCGGG